rnacentral:rRNA from 1 species
GACGAACGCUGGCGGCGUGCUUAACACAUGCAAGUCGAACGGAAAGGUCCUGCUUGCAGGGUACUCGAGUGGCGAACGGGUGAGUAACACGUGGGUGAUCUGCCCUGCACUUCGGGAUAAGCCUGGGAAACCGGGUCUAAUACCGGAUAGGAGCCAUUUUUAGUGUGAUGGUUGGAAAGUUUUUUCGGUGUAGGAUGAGCUCGCGGCCUAUCAGCUUGUUGGUGGGGUAAUGGCCUACCAAGGCGGCGACGGGUAGCCGGCCUGAGAGGGUGGACCGCCACAUUGGGACUGAGAUACGGCACAGACUCCUACGGGAGGCAGAAGUGGGGAAUAUUGCACAAUGGGCGCAAGCCUGAUGCAGCGACGCCGCGUGGGGGAUGACGGCCUUCGGGUUGUAAACUACUUUCGCUAGGGACGAAGCUUUUUGUGACGGUACCUAGAUAAGAAGCACCGGCUAACUACGUG